rnacentral:lncRNA from 1 species
AAGCCUGUCGGUGAGGAUGCCAUCUCCGUUGACGGAAAGGUCAUCAAAGUUGUCUCCAACCGCAACCCUGCUAACCUUCCCUGGAAGUAAGCUUUUCUACCUCUUUGACGUUAAGCGCUUAAUUAUUACCAAAACCAAAUAAACUGAAAUUACUAUAACUGCUUAUGCUAAUUACAAUUUACAAACAGAGUUUCAAAUUAGAAUGAAAAUCACAAGUUUAGUUUGAAAUUAUUAAUAUUGAUUGAUUUGUGCAGGGAAUUGGGAGUUGACUUGGUGAUUGAAGGAACUGGGGUGUUCGUGGACAGAGAAGGUGCAGGGAAGCACAUUCAGGCGGGAGCCAAGAAGGUACUGAUCACAGCCCCAGGCAAAGGUGACAUCCCAACCUAUGUAGUUGGUGUCAAUGCUGAUGCUUACAGCCCAGACGAACCCAUCAUCAGCAACGCUUCUUGCACCACUAACUGCCUUGCUCCCUUCGUCAAGGUCCUUGACCAGAAAUUCGGUAAUUCACCAUUUGGGCUCUACAACAUUCUUAUCUGUAACAGAAAAUUAAACUAACUCCCACGUGACACGUGACGUGGCAGGUAUCAUCAAGGGAACCAUGACCACCACUCACUCCUACACCGGAGACCAAAGGCUUCUUGACGCCAGCCACCGCGACCUCAGGCGCGCGAGGGCGGCAGCGCUGAACAUCGUGCCGACCUCAACCGGAGCGGCCAAGGCGG